rnacentral:rRNA from 1 species
AUUGAACGCUGGCGGCAGGCCUAACACAUGCAAGUCGAACGAGUGGCGGACGGGUGAGUAAUGUCUGGGAAACUGCCUGAUGGAGGGGGAUAACUACUGGAAACGUUAGCUAAUACCGCAUACCAUCAGAUGUGCCCAGAUGGGAGUAGCUAGUUGGUGGGGUAACGGCUCACCAAGGCGACGAUCCCUAGCUGGUCUGAGAGGAUGACCAGGCACACUGGAACGGAGACACGGACCAGAAUGCUAAGGGAGGCAGAAGUGGGGAAUAUGGCACAAGGGGCGAAAGCCUGAUGGAGCCAUGCCGCGUGUAUGAAGAAGGCCUUCGGGUUGUAAAGUACUUUCAGCGGGGAGGCGUUACCCGCAGAAGAAGCACCGGCUAACUCCGUGCCAGCAGCCGCGGUAAUUC